rnacentral:lncRNA from 1 species
ACUUAUUGGAAGCAAAAGAAAGGUCAUAAAUCCACUAAAAAAUGGGUGAAUGAUAAAGCAGUUGCUUCUAAUACUUCAUAAGAUAUUCUUUCAAAUUUAGUCCUUGGAGAGAGUUAACACCCAUUAGUAUUCUAGUUCUAAAACUAGAUAAGAAAGAAAUCUCCACUAAAAUCUAGCAUGAACAAGGAAUGAGUUAUAAGAGUGGCUGAUCUUUUUUCUAGGUGGUUGUGGAAAUCAUUAGUGCAAUAAGUAAUUUCUGGCUUUUCUUCUUCUAGGCACAUGAGAUUACCCUUCUUGACAUCCACUAAAAUUAGCAUGUACAUAUGAUUUUCCUUAGUCAAUAAAUUUGAUCAGAAGUGACACAUUAUCGUUUCCAAGGAGAAGCUUUAAUAGUCUGGGUACUACCUGCCAUUUUACCUUUUCCUUGCUGCAAUGAUAGAAGAAUGACGGUGGAAUCCCCUCCUCAGUCAGUAUCCUUAAUGAGGAUGAUGUAGAAGAGUCUUCAGCUAACUCACAACAGACAUGUUAUAGGAGGGAGUAACAAACUUGUCUUGUUUUGAGCCAUUAAGGUUUAUUACUGUAGCACAGUCAAUCUUAUCCUGACUGAUAGCAUAACUUAUUAAUGUCAAGAUGGGAUUCCAUAUGCCAAGAUGUGAGAUGAAGACUGAAAACAGAAUGAAUGGUUAAACUGAAACAUCUUCAGAUAUGAACUGUAAGUAUAUUAGAUCAGGUAUUUUGUUUCUUAGACUGGCGGGUAAAGAAUCAGGCUUGAAAAAUCCUUCAAACAUCUUGCUGAGUUGAUAAAUUUUUUCCUUUUCUUUCCACCCUUGGUAUCUCUUAUUCAUUCAAACUCUAUGCAUUAUUUUCAAAUUUUGAAAAUUUUAUACUGAUCACAGACUCUACUAAAGUCUUAACUACCAAAAAAACCUAGUGAUGGAUUCUGGUACCUCUCUAUAUAAUAUUUUAGAUUGAAUAUUAAAAUGUCAUUUAUGUCCUCUUCUAUUCAUAUUUAGGCUUAUAUUGCUGUUGGUAUGUCGAGAGAGUCAUGAUAAAAAAUCAUAUAUCUGGCAUUUUUUUUUUUUUAGUCAGCUUUUUUGCUGCUGUGACUAAAAGACCUGACCAGAGCAACUGUAGAGGAGGAAAAGUUUAUUCGAGGGCUCACAGUUUCAGAAGUCUUAGUCCACAGAAGUCCAGCACCAUUCCUUAGGGCUCCAAGUGAGGCUGAACAGUACAAGGGAAGAAUGUGGUGGAAGGAAGUGGCUCACACAAUCAGGAAGCAGAGAGAGAGACUUCACUCUCCAGAUACAAAAUAUAUACCCAAAUCCACACCCUCCACCCACACCCUACCAACCUUCAGUUACCACUCAGUUAAUCCCUAUCAGGUGAUUAAUUCACUGAUUGGGUUAAGACACAACCCAAUCAUUUCCCCUCUGAACUUUCUUGCAUUGUCACACACAUUAGCUUUUGGGGGACAUCUCACAUCUAAACCAUAACAUUACACUCCUGGCCCCUAGAAGUUCACAACCAUCUCACAAUGUAAAGUACUUUUUGUUCAAGAGUUUUCAUGGUCUCAACAGUUCCAAGAUUGCCCAAAAGUUCAAGUCCAAAGUCUCCUCUGAGACUCAGGGCAACCUUGCAUUGUGAGCUCCUAUAAAAUCAGAAGCUAUUUACAAGUAUCCAAUAUAUAAAGGUACAAAGUAACAUUUCCAUUCACAAAUAUAGGGGCAUUGAAAAAAGAAUAGGACUAAAGCAAGACCAAAAUUCAGCUGGGCAAACAAGUCCUGUAGCUCCAUGUCCCGCGGGCAUCAGGAGUACAUAGUAUCAUGAUAUUCUCUUCAAAGGGCUUGUGUAGCUCUGUCCCUUUGGCCUUGUUGGUUGCAGCCCAAGUGGCCUUUCUGUUGGCUUGUCUCUGUUUGAUUUCUGCAAGUUUCCUAGGACAAUGUCUCAUGUUACUGGCAUUUCUUUUUUCUUUUUAAAUAUAUUUUUAGUUGUUGAUACACCUUAAUUUUAUUUAUUUAUAUGCGGUGCUGAGAAUCAAACCCAGUGCUUUACACAUGCCAGGCAAAUGUGUUACAGCCCCAGCCCCUGGCAUUUCUUAAUCUGGGGGGUUGUUAGGUAAGUUUGAGGUGGCUGAGCCACGCAUCAGAUGAGAGGCCACCAGCCAGGCGAAGACUGGCAAAUUGACUUCACUCACAUGCAUAGGCACAAAAAGCUUCGCUACCUACUUACUUUAGUUGAUACUUUUUCAUGUUGGAUGGACGUCUUCCCUACCUCCAGAGAAACUUCUGACUCUGUCGCUUCCAUCCUCAUUGAGCAGAUCAUUUCCAGAUUUGGACUUCCCACCUCCAUCCAGUCAGAAGCCAUCACUUCUCAGGUUGUUCAACUGGUCUCCAAAGGCCUCAACAUCACUUGGAGACUCCACAUCCCCUACCGAUCUCAAUCCUCGGGUGAGGUUGAGAGGGCUAAUGGCAUUCUCAAGGAUCAUUCUGCCAUUGGCCCUCACCCGAAUUCAGGCAGUUCCUAGAGUCCCCUCAGGCCUUAGCGCCUUUGACUACUCUAUGGGCGCCCUUUCUUAAUCAACCAAAGCUUUCCAAUCACUCCUCCUCCCCUUGUGUCCUACCUGCCCUAUCUCACACUUCUACACAAACUCCUAAGGGAACACACAGACCGGUGCCUUCCUGUGCCAUCUGUUACCUCAAUCCCAGUGCAACCACAAACCAAAUAGGCCCCUCUUCAACCGGGUGAUGCAGUCUUACUUCGAGAGCCGCAUCCUCAAUCAUUGGUUGGAAUCUCGCUGGACGGGGACCCCAUACAGUCAUACUUACUAUCCCAACAGUUGCCAAACUUUUGGGCCACUCCCCCUGGUACCACGUCUCCCACCUUAAAAAAGGUGCCUGCUCCAAAUGUCCAGUCCUGAACUUCCACCACGCUGGGACCCACCAAACUCAAGAUUUAUUGCCAACCGUCUUCUUCUUUUACUAAUAGUUAAUCUCUCUCAAGCUCCUAUCCCAACCCAUAGAUGGCGCUUCUGAAUCCAAGUGACAUGGCACCAGGAUGGCACCACACACUCUCAGUUUAUGGGUCAAGGCAAUUGCCCUUCCACUGGCUGCAAUUGGGUGGUCACCCUUAACAUUAUUGGAUUCAACCAAGCCACCUUGUCCCACCUAUGUGCAGCAAUGCUAUACUUCAUAACAGACUAAACUGAGGAAUCUUGUAAGCGCUGGCCUAAUACCUAUGGUGGGGUGCCCUUAUAACUCAUGCAAGAAACGCUUCCUAGAUAAGCCUUGCUAUGAGAAACAAACAUACACCAAAUUAACUACUUAGGACCCAUGGGACCCAAAAUGGGCUUCUGAUGUUGAUGGUAAAUUUUAUUCUUGGGGUUUUACCAAGCUCUCCUGGGCCUCUAUCAGAAUCUGGAGAACUUAUGCACAGUGCUCCCUCAGAUUUACAUAACCAUCCAGGAGCAACAGAAAGAACUCCAACACCAGCUAGAUGCAGCUGCCUAUCCUAAAGCUGACCCUUUCUCAUGGAUGGCCCAAAUAUGUCAGGGCCUUCAGCUUCUCAAUUUAUCCAAAGUUAAUAACAUUUCAGAUUGUUUCCUCUGCACAGGUUUGGAUUAUACUCCUUUAACUUUGAUAUCCAUUGACCUUCCUCACAAUACCUCAACCAUACCCCAAGGGCCCCCCUCUCCAGCCUUUGAGAAAGUACCUCUUUUUCGUAACUCAUCAGGGAGUUACACUUCCUCUUCCUGCUACACUUCUUCUGGUAUGGUAACCUGUGACCAGAUCAUUAGAAAUCUCUUCCCCAACCUUUGCUCCUGCGGGGUUCUUUUUCUGGUGCAAUGGUACCCUAACAAAAAAUCUAAGCCUCAGCAUGCCCUUUGCUUUUUGUGUUUCUUCCACAUUGGUACCUCAAUUAAUUCUGUACAGUGAGGCUGAAUUAACAUGGCUUGUUACCACCUCCCUUUCCAGGGCAAUAUGGGUUGUCUUUCUACCAGUAGUAGUUGGACUCUCCCUGGCCUCCUCACUUGCUGCCUCUGGACUGGGGGCAGGAGGACUUGGUUAUGUAGUAACCGCUACUCAGAAGCUUGAACAACAACUUCUGGAAGCGGUAGAGGCAUCGGCUGCCUCUCUCAUUUCCCUGCAAAGGCAAAUAACACCUAUUGCCCAAGUUUCAUUACAGAACUGUGGAGUCCUAGAUCUCUUGAUAUGCUGCUGCUAUAUCAAUGAAACUGGAUUGGUUGAAAAGAAUGUUAACACCCUCUAUCAUUUGGUUAAAAGUCUUAAACAGCAAUAAUCAAAUGACCCUUGGCCAGGCUGGCUAAACUCUACCCUCAUUACAUGACUAACUCUCAUUCUCACUCCUAUAUUAGUAAUAGGACUUCUAUUAAUGAUUGCUUCCUGCCUCCUCAGGUUUGCCCGAAAGCACAUGGGUGAAAUUGCCAGAGUGACCUACAACCAGAUGCUCCUAUACCCCUAGAGUUGCCUCCUACUGAACCAACACCUGAGCUAUCCCCUUCCUCCCAGCGCUCCUAGCCAGCAGGAAGUAGCCAGAUGGAAUUUAGUGCACUACAUCAUCAAAAAGGCCAGGAUGUUAGGUCGGGUGAGGUGGCUAGGGGAACAAAGCACCAGGCAACCUGUGCAGGAAAGAACAACAAAUCAGGUGCUGACAGACAAGCAGUGAUAGUACCUUAUAACUACCUGUCAAUAAGCAGGGUCUCCUGACCAAUCCUGGAAGGGCAACUCCUGGAGGACAAGGGACUCUAAAAACCUCCCUUUCCUGUCCCAAGCCCUCCAUUCUGCCCUAAGCCAAAUAAAAUUCCAAUCCAGCCCAGCCUGGGUAUGAUUCCCCUGGACCCACUCUGUUGGAAUGGAGGGGCUCACCCAGGAGAAAAUCUCAAUAAAGCCUUGUUCAGCAACUUUUAAUCUGCCUCCUUUUGAUCACUGGCACCUGACCUUAUUACAGGGGUCUCCACUGCAACUUUUGGCUUCCUCCUCAAAUCUCCAUGCUUUGACUUCUCAGGGGCUUCCCACAGGGACUCAGACCCUGCUACACUUUGCCUGGCCUCAAAGGCCUUCAUUUGAAAUCUUGGUAGAAGCCUCCAUGACUCCCUGUCUCCAGCAUCCUGCAUUCCUGCAGAACCAGCACCCCAUGGUUGAUGCCAAGAUCUGCCACCAUCUCAAGAAGUAGCCAAGCCUCCAGGGACCAAGACUGCAGUAGCCUCUGACUGCCUGGGUAGAUGAGCAUGUUGGAUAAACUUCCUAGGCACCCUUGUACAAGAAGGGUGCCCCACUGGUCUGCUUCAAGAGAUUUUUUACUUUUAUUUCCUUGAGCCUGAGGUGGGUGUGGUCUUGCCAGCUUCUGAGGUGCCCUCAAGCUAUCUUUCUUAUUGUCUCUGGGGAGUCUUAAGGAUUUCUUUAGUGGCAGUAAUGUCUUUAACAAUUCAACUUCCUUUGCCCCAGUUUUACUCUUGCCUUUUAAGUUCAACUUUUUCAAAUCUUUCUGCUAUGCUUUCUGAUCCGGAACAUCACAAUAACCUUGGCUAAAAUCUGCCAGCAAUACUCAUGCCAAUUCCUCAAUGGUAUGCUUCCUAGACAUUUCUUCCAUCAGAUUAUGAAGUCCAUCAUUUUUAAAAUCAGAAAGCCUCAGAACACAGGCAUAAGACAGACAACUUCUCAGCCAGAACAUAACAGGAAUUGCCUCUAGUUCAAAUUUCAAUAAAGUUCUCCUCUGAACCCUCUUG